AGAGUUUGAUCUUGGCUCAGAUUGUACGCUGGCGGCAUGCCUUACACAUGCAAGUCGAACGGCAGCACGGGAGCUUGCUCCUGGUGGCGAGUGGCGAACGGGUGAGUAAUAUAUCGGAACGUACCCUAGAGUGGGGGAUAACGCAGCGAAAGUUGCGCUAAUACCGCAUACGAUCUACGGAUGAAAGUGGGGGAUCGCAAGACCUCAUGCUCAUGGAGCGGCCGAUAUCUGAUUAGCUAGUUGGUGGGGUAAAGGCCUACCAAGGCAUCGAUCAGUAGCUGGUCUGAGAGGACGACCAGCCACACUGGAACUGAGACACGGUCCAGACUCCUACGGGAGGCAGCAGUGGGGAAUUUUGGACAAUGGGGGCAACCCUGAUCCAGCAAUGCCGCGUGAGUGAAGAAGGCCUUCGGGUUGUAAAGCUCUUUUGUCAGGGAAGAAACGGUGAGGGCUAAUAUCCUUUGCUAAUGACGGUACCUGAAGAAUAAGCACCGGCUAACUACGUGCCAGCAGCCGCGGUAAUACGUAGGGUGCAAGCGUUAAUCGGAAUUACUGGGCGUAAAGCGUGCGCAGGCGGUUAUGUAAGUCAGAUGUGAAAUCCCCGGGCUCAACCUGGGAAUGGCAUUUGAGACUGCAUGGCUAGAGUGUGUCAGAGGGGGGUAGAAUUCCACGUGUAGCAGUGAAAUGCGUAGAGAUGUGGAGGAAUACCGAUGGCGAAGGCAGCCCCCUGGGAUAACACUGACGCUCAUGCACGAAAGCGGGGGGAGCAAAAAGGAUUAGAUACCCUGGUAGUCCACGCCCUAAACCCAUAUAGGAGUUGUCGGGACUUAAUUGUCUUGGUAACGCAGCUAACGCGUGAAGUAGACCGCCCGGGGAGUACGGUCGCAAAAUUAAAACUCAAAGGAAUUGACGGGGACCCGCACAACCGGUGGAUGAUGUGGAUUAAUUCGAUGCAACGCGAAAAACCUUACCUACCCUUGACAUAUACGGAACCUCUGAGAGAUUAGAGGGUGCUCGAAAGAGAGCCGUAACACAGGUGCUGCAUGGCUGUCGUCAGCUCGUGUCGUGAGAUGUUGGGUUAAGUCCCGCAACGAGCGCAACCCUUGUCAUUAGUUGCUACGAAAGGGCACUCUAAUGAGACUGCCGGUGACAAACCGGAGGAAGGUGGGGAUGACGUCAAGUCCUCAUGGCCCUUAUGGGUAGGGCUUCACACGUCAUACAAUGGUACAUACAGAGGGCCGCCAACCCGCGAGGGGGAGCUAAUCCCAGAAAGAGUAUCGUAGUCCGGAUUGUAGUCUGCAACUCGACUACAUGAAGUUGGAAUCGCUAGUAAUCGCGGAUCAGCAUGUCGCGGUGAAUAAGUUCCCGGGUCUUGCACACACCGCC
rnacentral:rRNA from 1 species